rnacentral:rRNA from 1 species
GAUGAACGCUGGCGGCGUGCUUAACACAUGCAAGUCGAACGGAAAGGCUCCUGCUUGCAGGGGUACUCGAGUGGCGAACGGGUGAGUAACACGUGGGUGAUCUGCCCUGCACUUCGGGAUAAGCUUGGGAAACUGGGUCUAAUACCGGAUAGGACCGCAUUUUUGAUGGUGUGGUGGAAAGUUUUUUCGGUGUGGGAUGGGCUCGCGGCCUAUCAGCUUGUUGGGGGGGUAAUGGCCUACCAAGGCGUCGACGGGUAGCCGGCCUGAGAGGGUGUACGGCCACAUUGGGACUGAGAUACGGCCCAGACUCCUACGGGAGGCAGAAGUGGGGAAUAUUGCACAAUGGGCGCAAGCCUGAUGCAGCGACGCCGCGUGGGGGAUGACGGCCUUCGGGUUGUAAACUCCUUUCGCUAGGGACGAAGAGUAAUUGACGGUACCUGGAGAAGAAGCACCGGCUAACUACGUG